rnacentral:lncRNA from 1 species
AGAAAGAAAGGAAAGAAAGAAAGAAAGAGAAAGAAAGAAAGAAAGAAAGAAAAAAUAUACGGUUUCUGUGGUGCCCCAUAUCUGCCCCAUUUCUCUGCGCCUGCGGUCUGGUUACUCCCUUAUGAAAGUGCAUAGAAUCCCCUCUUCCCUGUUCCCCACUUUGCGAGAGAUCUAUUGGGAGCUAGUGGGAGUUUUUCAUUUUUAACACUGGGCAUUUCUAUAAAUUCAUAUUUCUGCAUCUCCUUAUUUUGUUAGGGAGUGAUGUAUGGUCCAUCCUCAUCAUUUAUGAAUUCUGUAGUUGCAAAUUUGCCUGCCAGACGACAUUUAUUUUUUUUUCUCCCCCAUCAAUGCUGGUGGUGCUUUUGCAGUCAGUUAUGGACAUGAACAGAGCGGUCAGAAAUUUGAGUCUCCUGAUACGAAGUUGCCCAUCUGAGGUUAAACAAGGC